rnacentral:rRNA from 1 species
GACGAACGCUGGCGGCGUGCUUAACACAUGCAAGUCGAACGGAAAGGCCCUGCUUUUGUGGGGUGCUCGAGUGGCGAACGGGUGAGUAACACGUGAGUAACCUGCCCUUGACUUUGGGAUAACUUCAGGAAACUGGGGCUAUUACCGGAUAGGAGCUCCUGCUGCAUGGUGGGGGUGGGAAAGUUUCGGCGGUUGGGGAUGGACUCGCGGCUUAUCAGCUUGUUGGUGGGGUAGUGGCUUACCAAGGCUUUGACGGGUAGCCGGCCUGAGAGGGUGACCGGCCACAUUGGGACUGAGAUACGGCCCAGACUCCUACGGGAGGCAGCAGUGGGGAAUAUUGCACAAUGGGCGGAAGCCUGAUGCAGCAACGCCGCGUGCGGGAUGACGGCCUUCGGGUUGUAAACCGCUUUCGCCUGUGACGAAGCGUGAGUGACGGUAAUGGGUAAAGAAGCACCGGCUAACUACGUG